rnacentral:tRNA from 1 species
GGGCCCGUAGCUCAGCUGGUUAGAGCAGCGGACUCAUAAUCCGUUAGUCCCUGGUUCGAGUCCAGGCGGGCCCA